ACAAAGAAUCCCCUUAGUAUAAAGAAUAAGGAAUUAAUCCUUACCAUAGGAUCUGAAUAAAUUAAUGGUCCAGAUUAGCACUAAUUAAUAAUUAAUCUACAUUUUUUUUUACUGAAUAACUUUAAAAAUCAUAUAUAAAAACGUUGGGGGUAUGUUAGACAUUUUGUCUAUUCAGAAAACUGUCAAUUCCUAAAUUAACUCCAUUAAAUUAGGACAUUUACUUUCACCCCCACUUUCAUCCACCAAACCAUCUUCCCCCCACUUUCUCUCUCCCUUCCCACGACUUUUCCAAACACAUCAGACGCGAAUUCAUCUCUUCAAGAUUCGUCGUCGUCGCCUCUUCGUUCUGUAAUCCGGCGACGUCGUCGCUCCACCUAAGUCCGGCGCCUCCCUGCACUUUCGCCAACCGCCGCCGCGGUCCAAGAUCAGUAACUAGUCAUCGCGCGCAUCUGAAGGCGCCGCGGCGUGUCCGGAUUUCAUCCACUCGUCGGUACGACCUCUGCCUGAAAACGCCGCCGCCGUCGGGACUGCAGGCUGUCACCGAAGCCGGAUUAUAUCCUCAAUUUCCGUCGAUCCUGGGUCAUGAAAUCGGCGAGGUUCACCGUUCACCUUCUGAUUUGACGGGUACAGAGUUUGAACAUCGAAGAGGAUGUUGAAGAAAGUAGGAGCCUUCGCCAAGGAUCCCAUAUCAGAUACUUGCAUUACAGUAUGCGGUGUUUCCGAGCUCGAUGCUUGUGUUGAUGCCUGUGCUCGAAUUGUGUUAUGUUAAUAUGAAAUAUUGGAUUUGUAUAAUAUUUGUUUUCUAUUCAGAAAAUUUGUAAUUUUGUUCAACAUCUUAUAGUGACAUAUUCACUAUACUGUACAUAUCUAUAGUGUAUUCGUUUAUUAGUUAAUUUAUUCAGUUUUUUGUUUUA